CCGGCCGAAUGUUUUCAAUUUGAUAGAAACAAGUGACUCAAGGAAAGUGUUGACAGUUAUUAAAUUGAGUUUCCAUAUAAUAAGGGCAUAUAAUAGGUGACAAAUGACAGGUCCUGAGAGCUGCAUUUUGAAUAUUUGGAGGAUUUGGGGCACAUAUCUGGUAUUGGAACUUCUCUGAAUUGGAUUAGAACGCCGCGUGGCUCACGCCUGUAAUCCCAGCACUUUGGGAGGCUGAGGUGGGUGGAUCACGAGGUCAGGAGAUCGAGACCAUCCUGGCUAACACAGUGAAACCCCGUCUUUACUAAAAAUACACACUCAAAAAAAAUUAGCCGGGCGUGGUUGCAGGUGCCUGUAGUCCCAGCUACUAGGGAGGCUGAGGCAGGAGAAUGGCGUGAACCUCGGCGGCGGAGCUUGCAGUGAGCAGAGAUCGCGCCACUGCACUCCAGCCUGGGCGACAGAGCGAGACUCCGUCUCCAAAAAAAAGAAAGGGGAAAAAAAAAAAAAAGAAAGCUGUCAAGACCAUCCAGACCUGAAAAUACCUGAUAGGGGGAUGGGAAACAAAAACAUGACUUCUCACAGUAGAUCCUUAAUUGGUGAUCGAAAAUUGGUUUAAAAGUGUCCUAACUAAUCUUUUUUGAAGGGAAAGUCAGAAAUACAUUCAAACUCACAGUGUGUACCUCUGAGAGACAGUGGCUCAUUCAAGUAUCACUUAUCCAUUUGGGUCUUCAUUCAUUCACUCAUUCCCCAAAUCCUAACUGAGUACGUACUAUAAAACAGACACUUGCCAGGUAUUGGGGGAUGGAGGGUCUGAGUAGGGGUAAAGAUUAAUUAGGUAAUAAAAUCCAGAUUUCUUUUAAAAACAAUCAGAAAAUCUCACAAGGCUGGACCCACAUUCUCACACAAUAAUGAUUGCUGGCGCUGAGUCACUGGGGACCUACUAGGUGAAGCAGGAAUCCCUGAGUGCCUACAGCUCCCAUCCCCAAAGCUACAUCAUUACAGCAUUCCUUCAUGUUACCUACCUGUCAUUACCUAUGGACGUCUGAAUUCAUGAAUCUGAGCUCACGAAUUCUCAUUGAGAGAACCUUUCCAAUGAAAUACCCAUCGGAUGCCCUUUGCUGAGAGCCCGGAGUAGAACCAGUGCUAAAUUUCUAAGAGAGAGACAAAUACCUAAAUAACUCUAUUGCAAAAUAAAAGGUAUUAUCAGAAAGGGAAGGAUGAAAUGCUUUGAACAUUUAGGGGACAGGGAAAUUGUUUCUGGAGACUGGUACACAUCAGAAAUGGCUUCCUGGCAGAUGUAGCACCGAAUCUGGGACUUGAAUGAUUACAUUUUUUCCAUCAAUUCAACAAAUAUUUGCUAGAAGCCAGCUAGCCAGAAUGCUUUAUAGAAGAUGCACUCAGAAUUGGCUAGUUAUGAGGGAGCUGUUUGUCAACUGCUAAUUUUCUGUGGUUUGCUCUUCUUCCCUUUCCUUUUACAUUCACAAAUUGGGAAAGUUAAACUUGUAGAUCACUUUGGGGAUUGUCAAAGGGUGGCUUCUGGUAGAUACUGGUUUCUCCAAGCCAGGCAAACCUGCAUUCACUCAGCAUAUAUUUUCAAGUCUGGACUAUGUACCGUCCACUAUGACAGGAGUCAGAAAUACAGUGAUGAGUGCUGGCCCUGUCCCAUGUAAUUUACAGCCUUUUUGGAGAGAGAGGCAGUUUCAGUGACCUCACAAAUACAUGCAGGAGUGUAACUGUGAUGAGUACUGCAAAGGGAAGAGGGCCCUUGUUGCUAAAGGACUUAUAAGAGGAGUUGGCCAUGUCAGAAGGAUCAGGGAAGGCCUUACUGAGGCAUGAGGCUUCCUGGUGUGAAUAGCAGUUAACAGGUGGAGGGAGACCAGGUUCCAGGUGGAGGAAAUAACAUGUGUGUGGGCUCCUUUCCAGAAGAGCUGGAGAGAAGAGAGAUGAAAGGAAGGUGAUGCAGGAUGAAGCUGGAGGAGUAAGAAGGGGUUUGAUGAUAUAGCAGGCCCAGUCAAAGAAUCUUGUCUUUAUCCUAAGAGUCAAGAGAAGUUGCUGAGAAUUUUUAAGCAGGAAAGGGUGAUGAUCAUAUUUAUAUUUUGGAAAGAUCCUCCAACCUGCUCUCUGUGUUAAAACAGUUGAGUUCAUAUAUCUUCUGGCUGCAAUAAUGGGAAUGAACACAAGGCAGGACAGAGUACAUGGGGGGAGGCCGGUUAGCAAGCUAGUGUUGAGUUCAGAAGGAAGAUGAUGUUCUUUUGACUAGGAUGCUGGUGAUGGAGGGCAAUGAAAAAAUCUGAGAGAUAAAUAGGAGCUAAAUCAACAAUAUAAUGGGCUGAACAUGGAGGAGAAAAAAAGAAAAGAGUCAAACAUAUCUUCUAGGUUCCUCUCUGCCAUGCAUAAUUGGAUGGAUGGAAUACCAUUCACUAAAAUGAAUCACCACUUGGCUUUGUUCUAAGACUGCUGUGUACAGUUGUGUGAGUUGUGUACUACACCAGGGCAUCUGGCUAAUUAACAAAGGCAGAAGCUGAAAGUCAGCCCAUUCUCUGCUUGCCAAGACACAUAUCCCCAUGUAGGGUCAUGUCUACCCAGGUGGGAGGGGCAGCUUCUUAUAAUUUGCAAAAAAUAGCUAUCCAUUUGGCUAGAUAAAAAGUUAUACCUUUUAACCAGCAUUGCAGGCAUCCAAGAAGGCCCACAUAGGGUACUACGAGUGGGAGGGAGCACUAAAGGUGGUAAAGCCAGGGCCAGGAUACCUGGAUGGUAGAGACAAGGGCUGAAGAAGGUGAUGAGAAAAUGAGAGAGUGCAAAAAAUAUCAAGCUCAGUUUAUUUAUCCUGCAGUGGCUAUCUCUGGCAUUUCCUGGACUCCUGACCCACAGGGAGGGAUCCUGCCUGUGGCUCACCCUUCCUGUUAUUUUAAUUCUUUUGUUGGAUGCCUUUAAUGAAUGUAGACAUGGACACUCAUACAUCAGAGAGCAGAAGUACUUUAAGAACCAUCUAGCCCUACUCUUUCAUUACACGGAUGAGAACGCUGAGGUCCAGGGAAAUGGAAAGCUUUGCUCUGUCUCCUGCUGGGACAAGAUCCUUAAUCGCCUGAUUCCUCACAUCAUGCUGAUCUUUCCUCUAACAAGAAAUUGACUGAGCUUUCACAGACAACGAGGCAACACCUGAAAGAGCAAAGAUACCAAGUCAGAUUCAUCUGAGUUUGGAUCUCUGCUUGCCAUUCUUUGUUGUGUGAUUUUUGACAAGUUACUUAAUCUCUCCAAGCUUCACUUUCCCCACCUGUAAAAUGAAGAUUAAAAACACCUUGAAGGUGGGCUGUGAGGAUUAACGUAAAGCCUUUGGGAUAGGGUCUGAUAUUCACGAGCCACCAUCUAGACCACAUUCUCUACUUAUGUUGACUUCUCCAGCCCCUGUCUCUUCCCUACCCUUUCUCUAUUCUCAAAGGGUUUGCAGGGAUUCUGCAGAAAAUUUAUUCUUUGGAAAUUCUUUGUGGAACUCAACACAAAUUCAGCAUAUCAAAUAAACGAAAUAUUAAGAAAUGACUCUACCUUUUCCCCUAACCUUUCACUUAGGGUUCUGAUCCCUAAGAUGCAAAUGGCAAUUAACCCUGCACCCCACACUAGCCCUCUACCUCUCCCUAUGAUGACUCUGCACAGAUCUCAGGAAGCUUUAUGUGAAAAUAACACCUUGGAACUAGAAGCAGAAGGAACUAGAGAGGUUUCUGCUGGAAGCAUAAUAUAAAAGCCAGUUUUGAAGAAGGCGGGGGGUGGUGGGGGCUCAGAAAAAUGAGCGAUUACCAGAAGGAACUUUUUUUCUCCCAACAUGAUUUUUGAUGGCUCAUAGUUACUUUCAUUUGUUCCGUGACUUUGAGAGGCUGACAAAUAGCAGCCUCAUUCUGAAUGCCUAUUGUUACUCCUGAGGUUUUAUGUAGAGUAGAAAAGAUUGUUUUGAACGUUUCUCAUGGACAAGUGGAAGCUGUACUCUUGCUACAAAUGAUUCAUGUGGGAGAAAUGAUAUAUAAACAAGAUUGCCUGCUUGGAGAGUGGAUGAGAGGGUGAGUUAUUUCAGAAGGGCUCUUCACUUUCAUGCCAGCAAAUGAUAAAAGCUAGCUCUCAGAAUGGCAGGGGUGCUAUGGAAUGGAGGCUUCAGAAACUUUUUGACUCUUACAUUUUAUAGUCAAUGUCAAAAAAAUGUAUUAUAAAUUUCUGACUAAGUCCAGUUACUUUUUCAUGGUGAUGUAGCAAUAGGUUGAUUCAACCUUGGGCCUUGUCCUGUCAGUGUGUUGAGGCUGAAAGAGCCUGGGUUCUGGAAGCUGAGCCUCUGGGGUAAGGUAGGUGCCUAAGGGGCAAAAUUUCAGGAGGCACCUACUCUCAGGGUCAUACAGGCACAGAGUCAGCACUUGCACAAUCCUGUAAGUGAGUGCCUCCUUAAAUUUUGCCCUCUGGGUCACCCUCUUUUCUCACCCAAAUCCGGGCCCUGGAAUUGAAUUAGAAUCAAGACUCCAUCACUUAUUGGUGGUGCAACUUUAGGGAAUCAGUUAGGAUUAGUCUUGGCUAUAACAGAAAAAAGCCAAGUGAGAGUGGCUUAUUUCUCUAUUACAUAAAAAUCUAGAGCAAUACAGGACAGGGCUGGCAUAAUGUCCCCAUUGCAUAAAGUCAUCAGAUCCUAGUUCCUUCCAGUGCACUUUUCUGCCAUUCCAAGGGUUUUGCCUUCAUGAUUCAAAAUGACACAUCCACAUUCUAGGCAGCAGGAUGGAGGAAGGUGACUAAACCAUGUGACUAUAUUACUGAUUUUUAAAAUAUAACAAAAUUAUAAUUAUAAACAUGUAGAAUAGAUUGUAAAAGCCCAAACAAUACAAAAAUAAAAUAUAUUUUUGGAUUGUUAAAUCACCUAUAAUUGUUAUUUCUAUCAGCCCCACUCCAAAUUCCCAGCCUAAGCAUCUAGUUUAUUGCAACUAUUAAGGACUGAGCCAGUCUUGAUUCCCACAAUUGAAAAUGUUUUCAGAAGGAAUUAUUCUUAUGGAAGCUCAUAAAAUGUUCUUAAACCCAUAGGUUUGAAAAUAAGAAAAUUAUCUAGAGUGGAGUGGUAGACAGCUGAGUUAUCUGCCUGCCCAGCACUCACUUCCCAUUCUGGCAGGCAUACUUCAAUUUUGGUUUGGGGAACAAACUACCAGGUUCCUUUGCUUACAGACUUGGUAGAAAUUGUCAUUUGGGCUACAGAUGGGAAGACGUAGAAAUGUAACUCAAACUAGGACCAUAAUAUCCCUCUCUCUUCGAAUAAUUUGUCUCUUGGAUAUGGUUAAAAAGCAUAGACAUAUGACUGGGGAUCAUUUUCUCUAACAGAGACAUGGAACUCAAACAAAUUCCCUGAGCUGCUUUGGAUCCUGUUCUUUCUGAGGCCUGAUACUUCAGCGUCUUCAAAUCUAAUUUGCAAUGCCCCAUAUCCUUCCAGUACACCUCUUCUAUUUAAGUUACCUAGAGUCCAUUUAUGUUGCUUGCAAUCAAGAACCCUAACUGACAAAAGAAGCUAUUCACUUUUCUACCCAAAUAUUUGAAAUUAUACAGGUUGGUCUCUCCUACCUUGUUAAUUAUACCUGUUUUCUUCUCCAGCUUUUCCCAGGUGAGGCCAUUAAUGCCUCCACCCAUAGGCUUAACCCUGCCCUGUUUCUGAGCCAACUCUAAAGUGAGGAAUAGGACUAAAGAGGUGGUGGGUGAGUUGCAUGCAGGAUACCAAAGGAUAAAUCCUGGGGGCUUCCAGAAGUUCCAGAGGAAUUACCUAGAAGGCAUCAUUCCAAGGAGGAAAGAGGCCAAAGCAUCACAUAGACUUCAUAAAACAAGGGACCUUGCCUAUCUUAUUCCCCACUGUAUCCCCAGUACAAAAAAUUAUGUCUGGCUCAUGUAACAUUGGAAGCCAUAUGAUGAGAUAGUAGUGUCACGAGAUAGAAGAAAAUGGGAUCUCUAAGUCACUGGAUGUAGGAGGAUUCCCACUGACUUGACUUUGGUGAGUUCCCUGAGCCAAGCACUCCGCAGCUCCAUCGCAGCGUGGGCCUCUUGGAAAUUCGGUGCUAGUUCUCAAGGCCUCCUACCUGCUGAACCUUAGUCUUCAUUGCUGAAAUAAGAGCUGUCCUGCAAACAGAGUUUGGCGCUCGCUUUCUGGCCUCCGGCUGGUGGAGCAAGGACGUUUCCAGCACAUAAGAUUCCCCACUCUGUUAAAAAAAAAUGUGUUUAUACUUGGUCCCCUCUGAAGGCGGACGACACCCAUACUUUUGUCCCAGCCCAAUUUGCUGGCUGGGAUUUUUCUCAUCCUUUAAAUCCCGGGAAGCAAGGAACCUGCCCUCUGGCGCCAUCUACCGGCACUGUUUUUCGAGUCCAAGGAGCCCCCUGCGGAGUUGGGAUGUGUUUAGUAAUUGAUUGGAUGAAUCCUGCCACUUCGUUAGUAGAUUCUUAUUUUCUUCACGGACUCUUUACUAAUUAGUAAAGAGAUUAUAUAGCAAAUAUAUUAUCUUACUUUAAAGAGACCAGAGUCUCCUAUCUCUCGCUUCCCCCACCCCAUCAGUUGUGGCAUUCCUUCAUCUUUAAUUUCUUCCUUCGAAAAAUAUUUAUUUUGUUAUUGUAUAGAGAUCAGGGCAUGGGCCACACAGCUGCACACCUGAGCAAACAGAGGGGCUGACUGAUUUGCUGUUGUAAUGAAAAACAUUAGUUUUGGGUUCAUUACUGUGAUUCCACAAUGGGCACCAAAUCCCACUUAAGACCCACCGAAGAAGUCUUCAAAGGGACACGGUUUCAGGUCUGUGCCUGGUGAGCGUGCUGCCUCUUCGAAUCUUUGCACAGAAAUAACCUACGGUUGAAGACUCAGACCUGUCAGAUCAAAACCAACCCUGGCCUCCAGACCUUGAAACAAGUCAAAACAGUGAACCUUACUCAUCCGUUUUCAAAAUAUGGCCUGUUUUCUUUACAAAAUGCAGCAAAGCCUCUCAGAUGGGCGCUGGCUGCAAUAUUUGAUAUAUUAGGGAGAAUCCUGACUCCUUCCAGGUUUCUGCCCAUCUGUUUUAAAUCCAAAUGGCUUGGCAGAGGAUGGUUUUUAGUUAUGUAUUUUUUUCAUUUCAAAUGGAAUUUAAAACAGCAGGGGCAGAAAGCCCAGAUAUGGAUGAGAGAGAAAAUAAAAAGGCCCCUGUAAUUCCCCAUUCGCCUUCUACAUGAAGGAAAAAAUAUCGGCAUUUGUUGUAAACCUACUAUGUGUCAAGGUAUCACUAGGGAGUGUGAUGUUGCUGAGCCAUUGGAAUUUUAUAAAAUUUUAAAUGUUUUUCAUUUUCUUCUUCAGAGGUGGUUUGAUUUCAUGAUCAAGAGCUUGAACUUAAAGUCAAAUCCUUCUCCUGCCUCCUGCAGUCAUGGGGCCUUAGCUAUUCUCUGUAAUGACUCUAGGUCUCAGUUUCCUUGCCUGAGAACAGGCCUGUGAUAAUUACCUUGAUGGGCUAUUGUCAGUUUUAAAUAAGGUAGUGCAGAGGCAACUACCACAGGAAUGGUUCUGCCUUAAGAAUGAACUACGUGUGCAUGUGUCUUUAUAGCAGCAUGAUUUAUAGUCCUUUGGGUAUAUACCCAGUAAUGGGAUGGCUGGGUCAAAUGGUAUUUCUGGUUCUAGAUCCCUGAGGAAUCGCCACACUGACUUCCACAAUGGUUCAACUAGUUUACAGUCCCA
rnacentral:lncRNA from 1 species